CUUCUUUCCUCUAGUCGGGUAGUGAUGUAGUAACUUUCUUCCUGUUGGAGAGGCAAAGGCACCUCUUUUCAUGUUGGGUCUGCAGUUUUGGCAAGUGGUAGGGCUGAGAGGUCUCCUUGUGGCCCCUGGAAUCCAUUUUAAAUUAGCUAUUGAGGUAAGGAGACGAGCCAAAAACGUCCAUCAGAGGAUGAAAUUUGAAGAGCUAAGUGUCUUUAGCUGACAUAGGAAUCUGACCAUUCAGUCCCACUGGUUUCUGGACAGCCAGCAAAUGCUGCGGAUAGCAUGCUCCUUGCUUUAUUGUUUGUGACAUAAUUCCUGAAGAGAACCGAGCUGUGGAACAGAAUGCAGGAAUAAAUACAGCGAUGAUGAUGGCUGGAGUGGCUGAGAUGACUAAGAGCUGUUUGAGAACUGUCGAGACAGGAAGUGUUUCUUCCAUAGCCAGAGCUACAAAUAGCUGUGAGACUCUAAGAAACAGAACAAACUAACCUCUAAAUUCAUCAAUUACAAUAGAUCUCUCUCAAAG
rnacentral:lncRNA from 1 species